GGUUAAGCGACUAAGCGUACACGGUGGAUGCCCAGGCAGUCAGAGGCGAUGAAGGACGUGCUAAUCUGCGUAAAGCGACGGUAAGGUGAUAUGAACCGCUACAGCCGUCGAUGUCCGAAUGGGGAAACCCGGUGCACUCUGUGCAUCAUUGCAGCAUGAAUACAUAGUGCUGCAAGGCGAACCGGGGGAACUGAAACAUCUAAGUACCCCGAGGAAAAGAAAUCAACCGAGAUUCCCCCAGUAGCGGCGAGCGAACGGGGAGCAGCCCAGAGCCUGAAUCAGUUUGUGUGUUAGUGGAAGCGUCUGGAAAGUCGCAGGGUACAGGGUGAUACUCCCGUACACAAAAACACACAUGCUGUGAGCUCGAUGAGUAAGGCGGGACACGUGGUAUCCUGUCUGAAUAUGGGGGGACCAUCCUCCAAGGCUAAAUACUCCUGACUGACCGAUAGUGAACCAGUACCGUGAGGGAAAGGCGAAAAGAACCCCGGCGAGGGGAGUGAAACAGAACCUGAAACCGUGUACGUACAAGCAGUGGGAGCCUUCUUUAUGGGGGUGACUGCGUACCUUUUGUAUAAUGGGUCAGCGACUUAUAUUCUGUAGCAAGGUUAACCGUAUAGGGGAGCCGCAGGGAAACCGAGUCUUAACUGGGCGUUAAGUUGCAGGGUAUAGACCCGAAACCCGGUGAUCUAGCCAUGGGCAGGUUGAAGGUUGGGUAACACUAACUGGAGGACCGAACCGACUAAUGUUGAAAAAUUAGCGGAUGACCUGUGGCUGGGGGUGAAAGGCCAAUCAAACCGGGAGAUAGCUGGUUCUCCCCGAAAGCUAUUUAGGUAGCGCCUCGUGAACUCAUCUUCGGGGGUAGAGCACUGUUUCGGCUAGGGGGCCAUCCCGGCUUACCAACCCGAUGCAAACUGCGAAUACCGAAGAAUGUUAUCACGGGAGACACACGGCGGGUGCUAACGUCCGUCGUGAAGAGGGAAACAACCCAGACCGCCAGCUAAGGUCCCAAAGUCAUGGUUAAGUGGGAAACGAUGUGGGAAGGCACAGACAGCCAGGAUGUUGGCUUAGAAGCAGCCAUCAUUUAAAGAAAGCGUAAUAGCUCACUGGUCGAGUCGGCCUGCGCGGAAGAUGUAACGGGGCUAAACCAUGCACCGAAGCUGCGGCAGCGACGCUUAUGCGUUGUUGGGUAGGGGAGCGUUCUGUAAGCCGUCGAAGGUGUGCUGUGAGGCAUGCUGGAGGUAUCAGAAGUGCGAAUGCUGACAUAAGUAACGAUAAAGCGGGUGAAAAGCCCGCUCGCCGGAAGACCAAGGGUUCCUGUUCAACGUUAAUCGGAGCAGGGUGAGUCGACCCCUAAGGCGAGGCCGAAAGGCGUAGUCGAUGGGAAACAGGUUAAUAUUCCUGUACUCGGUGUUACUGCGAAGGGGGGACGGAGAAGGCUAUAUCAGCCGGGCGACGGUUGUCCCGGUUUAAGCGUGUAGGCGGAGUGUCCAGGUAAAUCCGGACGCUUGUUAACGCUGAGGCGUGACGACGAGGCACUACGGUGCUGAAGUGAUAAAUGCCCAGCUUCCAGGAAAAGCCUCUAAGCAUCAGGUAACACAGAAUCGUACCCCAAACCGACACAGGUGGUCAGGUAGAGAAUACCAAGGCGCUUGAGAGAACUCGGGUGAAGGAACUAGGCAAAAUGGUGCCGUAACUUCGGGAGAAGGCACGCUGGCGCGUAGGUGGAGGGACU
rnacentral:rRNA from 1 species